rnacentral:rRNA from 1 species
GACGAAGGGGGCAAGCGUUGUUCGGAAUUACUGGGCGUAAAGCGUGCGCAGGCGGUUUUGUAAGUCUGUCGUGAAAUCCCCGGGCUCAACCUGGGAAUGGCGAUGGAUACUGGCUCGCUAGAGUGCGGUAGAGGAGAGUGGAAUUCCCGGUGUAGCAGUGAAAUGCGUAGAGAUCGGGAGGAACAUCAGUUGCGAAGGCGGCUCUCUGGACCAGCACUGACACUGAGGCACGAAAGCGUGGGGAGCAAACAGG